CUCACGGCGCUCUCCCGCCCUCCGCUCCCGGCCCUGAGGGCGCGGGCAGCUCCCGCCGCUCCCCGCCCUGUGGCAGCCCCGGGGCCAGUGGGCGCGGCGGUGCCCGCCGCCAGCGCAGCCCCCUGCCCGCCCGGCUCCGCCCGCCACAGCCACCUCGCCUCGCCUCGCCUCGCCUCGCCUCCCGCCCGGGUGCCACCGAGCCCAGGCGCCGGGCGUGCAGCGGGCGGGCGGCCGCGCCAUGAGCGCCGAGUGCAGCAGUUACCUCAACGCCGACAAGGUGCUGGUGAGCGGGUUCAGCUGCCCGCGGGCGGGCGGCGACGCCCGCGCCGUGUUCUGCUGCGGCUUCCAGGAUGUCAAGUACUGCUGCGAUGACCCCCACAGCUUCUUCCCCUACGAGCACAGCUACAUGUGGUGGCUCAGUGUUGGAGCACUCGUGGGCCUGUCAAUAGCAGCAGUGGUCCUCUUUGCUUUUAUCAUCACUGUGUGUGUUCUCUGUUAUUUGUUUAUCAGCACCAAGCCACGCAGCAAACUUGAUACUGGUUUGAGCUUACAGACAGCAGACAGUGAGGCCAGAGGGAGUUCAAUAUGUUAAAGACAGAGGCACUGAAUGGAUUCUACCAAUGUUAUGAAGAAAAGAGAUACAGAACUGCAUCUCUAACAAAGCCCCCACCAAAACAAGCUGUUGACAGAGCCAAGUAACUUCAAGACACUUCCUAAGCCACAAGGAUGGACUGUGUCUAUUCUUCAUCAAAUCAUGUUGGAAUAUUUCUUGGGAAGCAAACUAAAAUUUUCCAGUAGUAUUUCAGUUUGGAGCACUAAUUUGUGAAGUGUUGAACUUCCUUCAGGUAAUCAAAGAGCUCUAAUUGCACAUUUUAUUUCCCCAGAAGUCUUAGGAACAACCAACAUAGUCUUAACUGUCAUAUUUGAGUUGUCAGUUCUUUCAAGCUUUCAAUCUUGAAAUCAUGAACAUUAAUGAUAAUGAUUUCUUUUCAUCUUGUGAGGGUUCUUUAAGGUGAGUGAUCAAAAGAAUUUCAAAAUUGUUUAACCAUGCUGUUGAUAUUAAGGCAGUAGACAUUAUAACUUCCAUUUGCAGAUGAGGCCUAAAAUAUUUACCUACCAUGUCAAUUUUGUCUGUAGUUAUACUUCAACUUGUUAAGACAGAAUCCUUGUCUACUGUUUGGGAGUGACAUCUUUUUGUGUGAUAAUGCUUGAAAUUUAAACUCUGUAGCUGUCUGGUACUGUGCAUCAAAACCCCAAAAUGCUUCUGAUCUCAUCUGCUCUUGUGUGAAAUAAUACACCAGUGCCUCCCGUUGAAGUAGAGAAUGUGGUGUAUGUUCUUCCAAUAGCUGUCUGUAUGUAAUAUCUCAUUAAACUGCUGUUUGCCACUAUGGACUGGGAGAAAAUUGAAACCACAUCAGAUGCAUAAAGAAAAUGUUUUUAUAACAACAGGACAUAAACCUGAUCUUCCAGCCUCAUAACUCUCUUGACUGGGACUGUCAAAGAGCAGAAGGGAAAGGAUUUAUGAGUUUUGCCAUCUGGUUUCCUUGGAGGAUGCCAGCCAUGAGAUAAACGUUCUGGAAGCAUAUGCUUCAGUUUGAACCACCAAUAAAAGAUUUAUGGAAGAUGAAAAAAAAAGAUUUAAGUUAUUUUAACUUCAUACAAAUUUGAGUCAGCACUUCUUUAAUUUUUAAAUUCUAAAGAUACUUAAAAUUAACAAGAUGUACUAGAUAUUUUGAAUGUUGCAAGUUUAAAAUAUCUUUGAUUUCUGUCUCUUGGGCAAUUUCAAAAUCUUUGAUUCCUCAAAUAACAAGGUUAUUUUCCUCUCAGAUACUGGACUACUUAUUCAUUUUGAGUCUCUUAAGACACCACAGUAACAGAAUUAAAAGUAAAAAACAGAAUGCAAAAAGAAUUAUUCCAAUUCUUUGGUUAUGUCCAAUGUCUGUCUGUGUUUUCUGUCACUGUGCUUAGGAAAACCCAUUCCUUUGCCCUUUAGCUAGUUGUUUUGUAAUUGAGGGUUUCUAAAUGUCACCAAAAAGUACCUCCCACACAGGUUUGAUUAGGGAAUCAGCACACUGCCCAGAACAGCUUUCAAAUGUAAUGUGCAGUCACAACAAGGGUGACUCCUUGUGCUAAAUAGGCGUAAUAAGCCUUAAUGUACUUGUUAGACAUAGCCCUAAUUUUUGCCCUGGGAACAUUUUAAGCUUAAAUUGCUUAAAUUACCACAUAAAGCAAAUUCAGGGCUGUUGUGCCAUCAGCUAUACAGAAGCUACUAAAUCUCACAGGAGUUGCUGUGAGCAUUUUUUAUUGUUUCUUGAAGUUGAGGAGUUUUUCUAAUCAGAGGGCCAAAAUAGAAGUUGUGUGAAAUAGGCCUGUCAGACUGUGGGAUGUAGAAAGUGUGUUUGUGUACAGAUACCAGCAGA